ACGUUUCUCACUCCCUGCCUGGAUUCGGCGCGCUUUUCCACUUGGUCCUCCCGGGUUUCUGCGCGGGACGCGGGCUCGAUCGGCGCGAAGGAGCCGCUGACUGCUGGCUUUUGACGGGGGAGACUCCCUUUUCCUCCGGGUCAGCGCUUGAAGCGUGGGGGUGGGGGGAGGAGAGGGCGUGAAUUUGUAUGGCAGGUGGGGAUACGGCAGGUGAAGCACCCGGGUGAGGGAAGGGAAGGUGGGCGAAGGCGCUCCGCCGGCCAUCGGGAGCCUUGGAGGGAAGAGCUGACUCCGGCGGGCAGAAGUCUAACAAGGGAAGCCUUGGGAGUUGGCCUUGACCUGAAAUCUACAUAGCUCCUUAACUCUGCAACACAAUGUUCUCAGAGCAAGGUAUCCAGUCUGCACAGGGCCUCUUGACAUCCCCGUCUGCAGUGGCUUCCACCUUUGCCCGUGUGCCCAUUUCAACGUAUACCAACUGCUCCCAGAAUUUCAGGCUUGGGGAACGAAGUUUCAAUCGGCAAUAUGCUCAUAUCUAUGCUACACGCCUUAUCCAGAUGAGACCGUUAUUGGUGGACAGAGCCCGGCGUAAAUGGGGGAGCAACAUUACAGUGAAAAAGCUAUGCGAGUUGCAGAUCUCAGAGAAGUGUUGUGUGGUGGGAACACUCUUCAAGUGCAUGCAGCUUCAGCCUUCCAUCUUACGGGAAAUCAGUGAAGAGGUAUGAGAAAAGAACCUUAUAGGUUUAAUUUAAGAAGCAUGGGAGAUAUCAAAGGCAGACUGAGGGAUCUUCUGCACCUAAAGAACCUGAAACUGAGUUUCAGACCCUUCAAAUUUU